CAAGAAACUCCAGUUGUAUAAAUAUUACUGAUAAUAUUUCUUUCAUGUUCACUCAGGUGCAUUCAGAGUAAAGCGACAGAGGAAGAGCAAGAACUUGAGGAUGCCGGCAGGGCAGGGAGAGCAGGUGACAUGGAGAUAAUACAAUCAAGCAGGGAGAGUGAGUUUCAGACAGUGACACAGAGAGAAAGAGAGCAAACAGGCAGGCAAAGAUGAAGAUAGGACUUGCCGUGCCUGGCUAAUAACUGGAAGGGAAAAGCAGGAGUCUGCCAGCAGCAGCGGAAAUUUUUAAUGGGCCUGAACUAUAUCAGGAUCCUGAUUCACACUCUCACAGUCAGG